ensembl:lncRNA
CACACUUGUGCCAUCUCCCUGCACUGGAAGUUUCAAAAGUCACCUAAUAAUUAAGAUUAGAAUUUGUCUUAAGUAGCUUCCAUACAGAUUAUUAUUAUCUGGUGAUAAUUCCAUUCCUGAGCUGGUUUUGAGUGCUUUCUGGAUCCAAAUGAGCCAAAGAGAGCUGAUGGCUUUAAGGGUAUGGUUAUUUACAGACCCCCUCCUCAGUGCCAGGGAUGGUGCAUUAAGAGCACUCCCAAUACCUGGGAGCAGACUUUACUCUUCCUGCUCCACAGUUUCAUGUUUGAUCAGCGUAUGGAACUUAGAGCUGGGAACUAUCUACAGGAACAAAACCAAAGGCUGGAUUGCAGAUGCAGAUAAAAGGCGGGUGCUUUGUUAUAAUGAUAAUAGCAAUGAUCCAAAUAAACACAUGCCUAGCAAGGGUUAAAAUGGUCAUUCAGUCAUUCAUCACUACUAACCUGUAGUGGCCUGAGCAAACGUCUCUUUCCACAGUGGAUGAGAGGGCAAGAUGAUUUUGGUCUGUGAAUCCCCUUUUGUCUUUAUGUGCCAGAAGAACAGAUGCUCUCAGUAAGGGGCAUUCUCAACUAUUUACUGUCUACAGUAAUCUAUUUGUUUCUGCUUACAGAAAGAGUGUGUGGCUCUCUAGGUUCCCUGUUUCUUGGAGCUACAGAUGAAUGAGUAAGCUUACACAGUAUGUAAUCCCAAGGAGCAGUAUGAUAGGGAACAAGUAAGAGAAUAUUUGAGAGAUGGAAGAUGUGAUCCAAAGGAAUGCCUGCUUUGUACAAAGGCCUAGAGAAGAGUUGCAUGGGAUGAAAACACACCUGCUUCAUAACAGAGCACUUGCAUUUGCCAGACUACUAUUUCAGGGUCUGCCUUGCCUGUAGCUUUCUGCAGAAAAAUCUGUUUGUGCCAGAAUUCCACUCCUGAGCCAGGAGAUAGUGAUGAAGGAAGUCAGGAAGGGUACAGUGCACAAUUCCAGCAUGUCAUGGGAAUGUUUCCUUCUGCUUGUUUGGUCUGACAGAGAUGAUGGGAACCACAGGAGCAGGAGAAGCACUGUGACACACCAGGAUUAUUUUCCUUUCUAUACCAGUGCUUGUUGUUAUUCUCCAUUUCCAGCCUCACAGAACCUGUUCUAGAGCUGAAAUGGACCCUGUGGUGUAUUUACUGCUUUUUCAUUUUGGCCUUUGGUAUUUUUCCAAAGAAGCAGUAAUGGGGCGAGUUUGGGUUGAAUCAUGGAUGUCCCUUGGAUACUUCUACUGCUUCCAAAUGGAGCACCUCCAGGAAACAUACACCUAUGAACUGUUGUUUUCCAUAGGUUUUUCAAGAGCAGCAUGGAGAUGUGCAUUGAUUUUGAUGGCAGGCAGUGUACAACAGGCUGCUCCUUAACCUGCCCACUGCUUGUUCUCUGCAGGAUACCGGUCUGUGGUGAGAAUUUUACCACCAAAGGAAUUAGGAAGGCUUGUAGUUUGUUCUUGUCCAGGUUUGGGGCACAGAGGUUGCUACACCUGUUGGUUUUUAUUAGUUAAAUGUAUGUUGAAGUCUACAAAUAAAUGCUACGACCCAGGUGGAACAGAUGAGAUGUGACUAAGUUCUUGGAUGAUUGAUAAUGAGCAGAGACUGGAAAAUCAAUUGUGUUAAUUCCUGGCUUGUCACCAGGACGGAGAAUUAAUGAGAAAAUCCAUCUAACGUAAUGGUAUUUACAUAUUAUACAGAAUGUGAUAAAAUUGUCCUCAGGUGCUACUUGGCAUCACAAUUAUAGGAUUACUGUAGACGCAGAGGCAGGAACAGAAAUCUGCAAGCACAAAAACUCCUUCACAAACAACAAACAAGUGACACUGACCAAUGAGGAGGGCUGAAGAAAAAGCCAGGAAAGCAAGGAAGGCUGUCGGACUCCAGCAGAGAUCUCUGAAGCUCUCGGGAGAAUGUCUAUGUCUGUGUCUGUGUUACAAGGCUGAGCAGCCAUGUUCCUGGACCUUGAAGAGCACUCAGGCAUCAGCCUCUUCAAGUUGUUGCCUGGAGGGAUUAUGCCUUUGAAGAUAUGGCAUGAAGAGAUAGAAGCUUGAACUGAAAAACUUCUGGAACACCUCCAGGGACGGUGACCCCACCACCUCUCCGGCCAUGAAGCUCAAAGCUGUUUCUUUGGGCUGAAGAUUUUAGCUGUGAUUCAGUGAUGCACAUGUGAGGACCUGCCUUAUUCCAGAUUUGGGCACCUGUCCCGGGUGCACGUUGAGAAGGUGUGACUGAUAAAGACAAUUACUGCUGGACAGUGGCAUCUUAGCAAGCACAGUUAUUGCAGUUUAUUGCCAAAUCAUGACAGCCAGCCAUCAUCAGCCAUGACAUACUUCAGAGACAAUCCAAAUGCUCUCUCCAGAUAUCGUCAUGGAAGAAGCAGCAUUUUGUGGAAUCACAGCUUGUGCAUUUUUGUCCUUAUACAACUCUGUGAAAUGUGACAGUGCCAAGAAGUUGCAUCUGGUUUAUACCAAGGAAGCUAAAGAGGUGACUUGAUCACUGCCUUCAAGUACAAGCUUUGUCUGCAGGGGGGCUGUCUGUUUCUAAUACUUGGUGCUGCAGAUUGGCAGGUGAGGUGAUAUGGAAGGGAAUGCUCAGCAGCCCUACCCAGCCACAACUAGAGGAGUCAGAACUGAACAGCUCCAGAAGCCAACUGCUCUGUGGUCUUAUCCACUGAGAUGUGCCACGGUCAGCUUGUUCUCCCUCUGCCUCAGAUCUACUGCAAAUGGAACCAUUUGGAAUGCAGCCUAAAUCCCACUGGAGCAAUUGGGAUGCAGAUGGCAAGGAAAGCUGAAGGGCAUUUGGAUACAUGCUGUCCCAUGGAUGUCUAAAUGGGAGAGAAGGUCUUCUAGAAGCACAUGAAGGACCCUAGAGGAGACAAGUGUUGGGAAAAAAAACAUGUCAGAACAUCUGAAAUGCCUCCUUCAUUGUCCCAGCUUUGGGAGCACUUACUUAACCUAUAUCAGCAUGACUCAAAACAACAUCAAUGUUUGUCUCUGGAGUGAAAAGAAAUAAUGUGCUUUGUUCAGCUGCUUCCUAUUCAAAGAGAAAUCACACUGGGAAGCAGAAGUUGCUGUAAAGGGGAGAGGUUCUGCAACUGACUCACUGGAAAAGGGGGAGAACAGUGCACAAAAGAACCUGCGGAUAUCCUGGUGGAUUUCAGAACCGUGGCCAGCAGCCAGAGAGGUUCCGCGCAUGGUGCUGGGCUCUCUGAGGGAUUAAUUCGCGUCUCUUGGUUACUGACGAUGGCAUUCAGGUCUCUGGUGUGACUGUAUAAAUUCCCUGCAGGCCUGAAAAAAUGGAG